rnacentral:rRNA from 1 species
UACGGGGGGGGCAAGCGUUGUUCGGAAUUACUGGGCGUAAAGGGCUCGUAGGCGGCCAACUAAGUCGGAUGUGAAAUCCCCAGGCUUAACCUGGGAACUGCAUCCGAUACUGGAUGGCUUGAAUCCGGGAGAGGGAUGCAGAAUUCCAGGUGUAGCGGUGAAAUGCGUGGAUAUCUGGAGGAAUACCGGUGGCGAAGGCGGCAUCCUGGACCGGCAUUGACGCUGAUGAGCGAAAGCUAGGGGAGCAAACGGG